AGAGUUGUACACAGUUGCGUCAGGCUGUAAUGAGCAUGGCAAUGAACAACCCCCCAUGGGAAUAAGGUUUGCCACUGCGCAGUAAAAUCAUGUUCUGCAGCACUCUGCUCGGGCAACAUGUAGUUUUGUUUUUUUUUUUUAACGGCUUCUGUUGUGUUCCUCUCUCAUUGUUAUUUUGUCCUGUUCACUUACUAUUCAAGUUGAAUAUUGUGAACACAGCAAUCUUGCAAACCUCAUCUGUGAAUGUAUUGUGGUGAUAACGAUAAAUAUUAUUCCACAACAGAAAAUAGUAAGGAGAUGCAAUGUAACCUCAAACAAAAUGAUGGAUUCAUUUUGUUUAGUGGUGGAAUUCAAUAUUUAUAAAAAUAGCUCUGGUUAGUUAUCCCCAACUUUCAUCGCCCAUUCCAGGCUGUGCAAGAAGGUAAGGUGUGAAACGUUAAGAAUUGUCUGCAAAAAAACACAUGUACGUAUAAAAAGAAUAAAGUCCAACGCCACUUUGCCCAGGCAAGUUCUCUAUUUCUUCCGGAUAGAAACUUCCAGGCUCAACCCUCGGAUACUUAGCACGGUCAGACACAAUGGAUGAUAAUUCAGCGUUACAACUGUACUUUGGUGUCUUAGUGAUGGUUUAAGCGAAUUGGGAGAUGACGAAUAAUGAAAUACAGCAACAAUAGCACCAGACGAACGGUGCGACAUAUUGGGUACGUUGCUCUUGCCAUUUUACUCCGUUUCCGAAGUUCUACAAUGUUGAUCCUAAAUUCUAUGAAGAUUAAGAAUUAUGUCUCCUAUCAACUGAAAUAGUUGAUUGCAGAUUACACUUUCAUACAAAUAUACCACAGCCAGAUUACAUCUACCAAGAGAUAAAAGCAUGUCAACAGAUCUAUCUAAUGAACUAUAUAUUAUUCGAAUCUGGGGAUCAAAAUCUUGCAAUUUAUUCUCUUCAAGGGGUCACAUUAAGACUUUUUCACUACAGCAACCGGAAAGCAGGGAUGCUGAGAAAACUCGAAGGAAACUCGAAGGUUAUCUCCGGGACCAACUUGAUGCACUAUCUGCAGAGCUACACGGUUUCUUAGAGAAACUUGUUCCAUUUGCUUGACCUCAAGCGCCAACUGCGUACGAC
rnacentral:lncRNA from 1 species